GUGAUAAGAGGUUCGCACGACAGAGAGGGGUCAGCUGUGGUAAAGACGGUGGGCAUGGUGCGAUGCAGUUGUGCGGGGUGAGGGAAGAGGGGAAAUGAGAGAAUAGGGAAAAAGGGCUGGUGGCUCAGGGUGUAGGGGCACGGGUUUGUCUCGUUGGAAGGAAGGGAGAGGGUUGUGAGCAAUGGGGUGGCAAUGGGGAGGGGUUGGUGGCGAAUGGGAGAGAGGUAAGGGGGUGGGGGCAACGGAAUAGAAGGAAAAAAAGAAAGAAAGGGGGAGGGUGUGGAGGUAGGGGUGGUUUGGUUAGGUGAAAGGGAGUAGGAAUUAUGGAAAGGAAAAGGAAAGGGAAAGGGAAAGGGAAUGUGGCUAGUGAUGAGGAGGAGAGGACGGACGUGGGGAUGACGAUGGCCGAAAAGAGGGAAAUGUUCGGC
rnacentral:lncRNA from 1 species